UACGAGGGGAGCAAGUGUUGUUCGGAAUUACUGGGCGUAAAGGGAGCGUAGGCGGGCUCUUAAGUUGGAUGUUUAAAACCGGGGCCUAACCCCGGCGUGGCAUCCAAAACUGGGAGUCUUGAAUGGGACAGAGGCCAGUGGAAUUAGAGGUGUAGCGGUGGAAUGCGUAGAUAUCUCUAAGAACACCAGUUGCGAAGGCGGCUGGCUGGGUCCACAUUGACGCUGAGGCUCGAAAGCGUGGGGAGCAAACAGG
rnacentral:rRNA from 1 species